rnacentral:rRNA from 1 species
GACAGAGGUCCCGAGCGUUAGGCGGAAUCACUGGGCUUAAAGCGUGUGUAGGCGGAUGCCUAAGUACCUUGUGAAAUCCCACGGCUCAACCGUGGAACUGCUUGGUAUACUGGGCGUCUUGAGCCACUUAGGGGCAACCGGAACAAACGGUGGAGCGGUGAAAUGCGUAGAUAUCGGGAAGAACACCCGUGGCGAAGGCGGCUCUCUGGGACGGUACUGACGCUGAGACGCGAAAGCGUGGGGAGCGAACAGG